AGAGCCUUGGAAAGUUGUGAGGAAAGGAAGAAGACAAUAUCCAGAUGCUGCGAUAACCAAAAGGACUUCGAAGAUGAAAAUGUCAGCAUUAUGGCAGAUGUAUGAUUACUGGUAUGGUGAGGAAAGCAACUCCCAUCAUGCUUUGUAACCAGCUGCUUGCUUUUUUUGAAUGAUACUUUUCAAUAGAAUAGAAAGCCCACUAGUCCUAUCUUUUAUAUAUACAUUAUAUGUAUUUAAACUUUCUUAUUGAUCAAUAUUUAGGUGAUAAGCAUUUUCUCACUGUGAAAAAUACCUUAUUGAAUAGGUCUGUGUUUAUUACUGUACAUAAGCAAGAGUUUCUCUAAGGUAUUUAUCAAAAGUAGGAUUGCUCAGUCAUAGUUAAUAUUUACUUUCAACCUCACUAGAUACUGUCAUAGAAGUAGAGAGCAUCAGUAUGCUCCCAGUGCACAAUCCCUUCAACCAGUGAAAUAUGUUUUCCUUAUUUCCUUAUAUCCUUACUUCUGGUAUGCAUAGUAAUAUUUUCCUGGUUAAUAGUGAAUUGGGCAUAUUUUCACAUCUGAAUAUUGGCUAAACGCUGUAACUUGCCAAUUUAUGUCUUUGCCUGUGUUCCUUUAAAAAAGCUUUUAAAAUAUAAGAAUUAUAAGAUUCUUAAAAAAUAAAAUUCUAGAUAGUAGUCCUUUGUUAUAAAUGGACUUACCUUCUCCCAUAUUGUAUUUAUGUUGAUAUUGUCAUAUGAAUACGUUAAAUGUGGAUACAAUCAUAGCUUUCAUUAUUACCUAAUAAUCUUUUAAAUUUUAUUUUUUACUAGACUCUUGGUUUUCUAGGCAAUCAGGUGUGUCAACUGCAAAUAGAUAUAAUUUUGUUUUUUUCUAAAUAUAGUGAUUAUUUUUUAAAUUAUUGUUAUUGUAAUAGAGUCUCCAAAACAAGGUUUAGUAUUCAUGGUGAUACCAGGCAUCUGGUCAUUUUCUCCAAUUUAAUGAAAAUUACUUGGUGUAAUGUUUACUCUAGGUCUGAGAUAAAUAGAUUUUGUAGCUCAGUUGUCUCAGUUCUUGUUUAACUUUUUUUUUUAUUAGAAAUAUCUGCUAAAUAUAGUCAGAUGCCUUUUUGGCUCAUUGAUAUGAUGUUUUUCUCCUUGAGUUUGUUAAUGUGACAAGUUGUACUGUAGUCAUUAAGGCAGGUAUGUUAGAAUGAACCAGAAUGUUCGAUGAGCAAGAAUGAACAAAUAGACCAAUGGAACAAAAUAAAGAGCCCUGAAGUAGAUCUCUCUCUCUAUAUAUAUGUGGUUGUCUAAUUUGUGAUAAAGUUUCCUCGGCCAUGUGGUUGGGAAAUGGUGGUCUUUUCAAUAAAAAGCACUGGAUCA
rnacentral:lncRNA from 1 species